CAGAAUGUAACUUACCAGGCAAUAAGAAUAUGGCUGAUUUUCUGCUGCCACGGAGAGAGAUCCUGAAAUGAUAAACUGGAAGAGGAGACUAGGGCACAGGCAUGGAGGAAGGCCGUGGAAAGGCUCAGGGAGAAGACGACCUUCUGCAAGCCAAGGAGAGAGACCUUAGGGGAAAACAUCUGCUAAGGGCUGCUCAGAUCCCAUUAUGGAUGGUCUGUGGAGUAGUUGAGACAGAGUUAUUGGACA
rnacentral:lncRNA from 10 species